AAUUGUGGGAGAAUUUUUCAUUGAAAAAUGUAUCAAAUGAAUUGUAAAAAUAUUAAACAAAAAAGAUGCCGUUCUGAAAUUGGCUACACGAAACGUUAAAGGCUUAUAUAAAAUCCGAUGCUUCAAUUCUGAGAUAAAUCGAGCCUCGAAUCUAAAUGCAAACAGCCGUCAAAUAUAAACCAAACCUCAAAUUUACAAUCAUUCUCACAGACAGACUAGUAUAUACCCUCCCUUUAGGCGCUCGGAGAGAGAAGAGAAGAGGAAAACAAAACAAUCAACAAAUUAGCUGAAUGUAGAAACAGGUGCUUUAGCUGAACCUCUGGGCAAGGAUCGGUUCACGAAGACACGAAAACUAAUUUGUUUAGCAAUACUGCAAUAGGUAUUUCUCGAGUCUAUCAACUGACAAUGAUCAUAGAGAUUAUUAGUUAUUUGAUUUUUAAAAUCAAGUCAAGGCCGUUGACCCCUUUUCCCCAAUUGCAUUCGAACUUGACCUUGGCUUUGGAACACUGCCGCCUAACAAUCUGGCAGCAGCCCACAUUCAAAGCUCGCAAGUCUCGCACCUGACAACAUGAACUUACCCAAGCGUCUCUCGAACUCGCCCACUUUGAAACAGUCGUUGAGGGGCGUGCUGUGGAACGACGAUGAUAUCAGUUUCGAAGACAUUAUUUAGCCCAAAACGAAAAGAUGGCCAAAAUUGAUGAAGACGCUGAAGGGGGCACAAACACGGUUCGGUUAGUUCCUUUAAUAGAAAUGUUUGCGUAACGUGCCUAAACACUUAACAACAACAACAACAA